rnacentral:sRNA from 1 species
GGAUCCUUCCAGCUGAACAAAGUCAGCCACAAAGCAGACUAGCCAGCCGGCUACAAUUGGAGUCAGAGUCCCAAAGACAUGGGCUUGUUAGAGUGCUGUGCAAGAUGUCUGGUAGGGGCCCCCUUUGCUUCCCUGGUGGCCACUGGAUUGUGUUUCUUUGGGGUGGCACUGUUCUGUGGCUGUGGACAUGAAGCCCUCACUGGCACAGAAAAGCUAAUUGAGACCUAUUUCUCCAAAAACUACCAGGACUAUGAGUAUCUCAUCAAUGUGAUCCAUGCCUUCCAGUAUGUCAUCUAUGGAACUGCCUCUUUCUUCUUCCUUUAUGGGGCCCUCCUGCUGGCUGAGGGCUUCUACACCACCGGCGCAGUCAGGCAGAUCUUUGGCGACUACAAGACCACCAUCUGCGGCAAGGGCCUGAGCGCAACGGUAACAGGGGGCCAGAAGGGGAGGGGUUCCAGAGGCCAACAUCAAGCUCAUUCUUUGGAGCGGGUGUGUCAUUGUUUGGGAAAAUGGCUAGGACAUCCCGACAAGGUGAUCAUCCUCAGGAUUUUGUGGCAAUAACAAGGGGUGGGGGAAAAUUGGGCGCGAGUCUGUGGCCUCGUCCCCACCCAAGGCUGGGUCCUCUCUAGGGGCCUGGCAUUUGAGUGAGGAAGCGAUGGCUGCAGCCGAACGAGAAGGUCAGGAAGAACGUGGUGCCCAGCUGGCUUAGGCUCGCCUUUCAAAGGUUCCCCAAGCAAAUUUCUUCUCAAAACAGAAAGCAUGAGUUUUGUGAGAUGCUUUGUACAAUCAGACCAU